GGGGGUCCGGACAUGGCCAGCGUCACCAUCAGCGCUGGUUGGGGGCCACCCCCCCCUCCGCAUCCCGGGAUUCCCCCUUCAGAAUUCGGCGUGGCAGUGGGAGGGGCUGUGGCCAUUCUAGUGUCAGCCCCGGUAUAGGGCCCUGAAGGUCACCAGAUGAGAAGCCACAGUUGAUGCCACAAAACCUCAAGCUCUCUGUCCCGAUGAGAAGCUGGUGGAGCCGGGGGCAUGAGUCCCGUGUGUACCAAGGAAGCCGCGGGGGUGCUCUGUCAAAACGAGGGAGGAAACCAAGAGGAAGGCAUGAGAUGCUGGAACCAACGACUCCACCUGGUGCUGCAAAGGGACAAAGGAGAAAGGAAAUAAGAGGAGAUGUUGAAGAGUCAAGAGAAUCAGCAUUUGUUGUACAACUUAUUUUUAUUGUUUUCUUCAUGUGAAGAAAAUGGUAUUAAAGUAGAAGAAAAUGUAGUUGACCUAAGUACAGAAAAACCCAAAGUGUUCAAAAUCCAGACAUGAGCUCUCCACGGAGGCAUAGAUGCACUGUAGUGAUUUUAAGGAGAAAGAGCGCCCACCGUCUCGCGCCUGAGAGGUCUACUAUGACCACCACCUCAGUGACUGUAGAUGUUGGAAUAGUUGUCCGCUGUCCUCUGGGCAGUGUGUUGCACAUGAGAGGUCAGACACACUCCGGAUGGUGGUCCCUCUGUCAGCCUGCAGCCUGGAAUGAGGACAAGUUACAGGAGAGUUCCAGACCAACCCAAGGUGAUCCUCUAGAAUGAGCAAGCAAACAAGAAACUCUCCUUAUGUCAAGUCACUGAGAGGGUGGAAGGAAGCCACCGACCUGCCCACCAUUUUGAGCCUGAGAACCCAGACAGCAAAAGAAAUAUACAGCAACACUCAAAGGAUCUUUAUCUCUGGGCUGUGCAAAGAUCACGUGGGAAGACGGGAUGCACGCUGAGAGCUGAGAACUCUCCACGCAGAGGCCUUUGCUGCGGACUAACUCCACCCCAGUGCUCAUUCCAGCUCAUUCCCAGAACCGGGAGAAAAGGUCCUCCCCCUCAGAGAGCAGUGGUGAGGGCUUGAAGGCAGUUAACUUGCAUUGUGCAGAUAGGCACAGGAAAUAGGUGACUGGAAAGAAGUAUUAUUUACAUAAUGAUGGGUCUUAGUAUUAAUUUGUUGAAUGCUAUUGAGCCUGAAGACCAACCUCCCUGCCUCCAACUCUGGUGGGGGUGUUUUGAAUCCCACGUUUGACCUCCCAUGAAGCAGCUCUGGGGUUUGAACACUUGCUAUCCCUGAUACACCACUUAACAUGAGCUGUUUUGGUUUUUCUUUUUAGUUUAUUUAUU